UACGUAGGGGGCUAGCGUUGUCCGGAAUCAUUGGGCGUAAAGCGCGUGUAGGCGGUCCGGUAAGUCCGCUGUGAAAGUCGGGGGCUCAACCCUCGAAUGCCGGUGGAUACUGUCGGGCUAGAGUACGGAAGAGGUGAGUGGAAUUCCUGGUGUAGCGGUGAAAUGCGCAGAUAUCAGGAGGAACACCGAUUGCGAAGGCAGCUCGCUGGGACGUUACUGACGCUGAGACGCGAAAGCGUGGGGAGCAAACAGG
rnacentral:rRNA from 1 species